ACCGCCAUGGACGGCGGUGAUGCAAAUCAGAAACGUGUUUAGGCGUAAGACUAAACACGCAGCCCAAGAAUGUAUAGGACGUACAUUCUUGGGCGUAC
rnacentral:sRNA from 1 species